AGAGGCUGGACUCAAAUUGUGGUGACAACAGCCUUCUAGAGAGGGUCUGUCAACCUUGACACUGGGACAUUUGGGUUUGCUCAGGCUUUGCUGGGGUGGAUGGUAGUCCUGUUCAUUGCACAAUGCCUAGCAGCAUCCCUGGCCUCCACCAAGCAGAUGUCUCUAGACAUUGACAAGUGUGCACCAAGGGGCAAAGUCACUCUGGGUGGGAACAAUUUAUCUAGAUCCACAGGCCCCAAAUUCAUGAGCUGCCCCUUCCUGGUCUUUAUUGAGAUACAGUGGUGCAACUCUUGUAUCUGUGAGGCAUCCUGAAGCCUCUAGCAAUCCAGAGUCCAUUUCCAUAUCUCACAACCCGAAGAAUCCUAAUACACACAAUAUGAAGGCUGGGAGGGCCUCAAAGUGGCCCUCCACUGUUUGGAUGAGGCUCAUCCACUGUUUGGAUGAGGCGUGAAGCACAGUCACCCUAGAAGCUGUCCUGUGGCUGGAGCUGCAUGUAGGAGUGGGCGGGGGGUGCUACAGGGCCACACAGACCAUAUUUUGCAGCCCACACUCAAGUGUAGGCCAGGGUGUGGUGCGGCUCCGGGAACCUCAGUCUGAGCUGCCCAGGGGACCGAAAGCCUCCUACCCAAUCCCAUGGUCUCUGAAUGGAGGGAAAUCUUUUAAUGGCUAAACCUUGCUGUUUUCAAGGAUGAUGUUCCACUGAGAUUGAGAUUUCUCCUUGUGGAAGGAUCGGUUGUUCCUAGAUUUUAACCCUGUCCACCUUACAGAGACAAACUAAAGUACAGAACUGAAGACAUUUUGUGAAUGAUGCUCGCUCUCGGCAUGGGGUUGAAGCAGAGCCCCUGGGGCUUCAGUUAGGUCAGUGUGAGCCGUUGUUGCCUUGGCUACGUGCACAUGUGUCUGAGUGUGUUCAUGAGGGUCCUCUGCAUCACAGAGGAGAGGGAUGAGCCCAGCCUAUUUCAUGUCACAGGGGCCGUUGUGAAGUGCUUCAUCAGGACUGUAGACUGCACCCCACAGGAUGUGAGGCUUCUCCUCUCCCCUGGAGACUUGGCUCUUCUCAGCUUCUGUUUCCACUGCUCUUGCUGCCACCUGGUUGCAGGCUGUGAAGUCCCAGUUUCCAACCAAGUGACCGAAUUCAGUAGCCCUGGACUGGGUGCACCAGGGGAGGUCACUUCUGAGGAGUUAGCAUCCAGGAAUAGAUUCCCUUGGGAAACUUUACAGGCCACUUAA
rnacentral:lncRNA from 1 species